CGGACGGGUGAGUAACGCGUGGGUAACCUGCCUUAUACAGGGGGAUAACAGUCAGAAAUGGCUGCUAAUACCGCAUAAGCGCACAGAGCUGCAUGGCUCAGUGUGAAAAACUCCGGUGGUAUAAGAUGGACCCGCGUUGGAUUAGCUAGUUGGUGGGGUAACGGCCCACCAAGGCGACGAUCCAUAGCCGGCCUGAGAGGGUGACCGGCCACAUUGGGACUGAGACACGGCCCAAACUCCUACGGGAGGCAGCAUG
rnacentral:rRNA from 1 species